rnacentral:rRNA from 1 species
GAUCAUGGCUCAGGAUGAACGCUAGCUGCAGGCUUAACACAUGCAAGUCGAGGGGAAACGAUAUUGGAAGCUUGCUUCCGAUAGGCGUCGACCGGCGCACGGGUGAGUAACGCGUAUCCAACCUGCCCACCACUUGGGGGAUAACCUUGCGAAAGUAAGACUAAUACCCAAUGAUAUCUCUAGAAGACAUCUGAAAAGAGAUUUAAAGAUUUAUCGGUGAUGGAUGGGGAUGCGU